ensembl:lncRNA
AACACCGGCGUGCACGAGGUUGCCGCGCGUGAAUAAUUUUGGGCUCCUUCAAGUGGACAGCCCGCAAGGAAUGCACAUGCUGGGUGCCUUUUUUUUCUCUCCACGUUUGUUAAAGUUUGUUUUAAUUUGACGAACAAGCAGUGUCGUCUUUUGGAUCCAUAGGCGUAAGAGUUCUGCGGUCACCAAGAACGCGUUUGCAUUGAAGGAGAUGUUACUUGGCAAUGUAUUUAUUCUAGGCAAUAGUUAAGUUAGCAAAGUUUCUUGAGGUUAGCAAAAGAUUGGUAGAUAUCUGAUAGUGUAAUUUCUAAUUAAAUAAAAAAUACAUCUGGUUUGCUAUCAUUUAGUCUUAACAUUUGUUUUUGUUUUUCACUUCAUCUCUUACUUUGCGUCUACCUCCAUGCCCUUUCUCUAUGUCUCCUCUCCUCUCUUCUACUCUCCGUGGACAUCGAACGGAUGGACGAAACAGGACUCUUCACCUUCAAGUAACAAUGAAACCCCGUGACCCUGAAUAUCUGCCCGACCCUGCUUUUGUCCCGUCCGAAGGUGGAUAUGCUUCCCAAAUCCUGAUCAGGCGGACGGGAGAGAGGGAGGGGAGUGAGGGAGCAGAGAGGAGGAGAGGAGAGGAGAGGAGAGGAGAGAGAGCGGAGGAGUGCGGUGCGUUAUCAGUGAGUGGUGCUGACGGGCCUGUCAUGCCUGUCCGAGGCCAGACCAGCACUGAGACAGGAGGUGUCACGUCUCUGAGCCACAGCCCUUUGUGCCACCAGCUGCAGCUCUGACACACACACACACACACACACACCGCAGCCCUGACACACACACACACACACACACACACACACACACAUACACUCAGACAGACACACGCGCACACUCAUGCAUACACACACACACACACACACACACAUACACACACACACGCACACACUUAUCCAUACAAACACACCCACACAGACACAUACACAUGCAAAGAUACACUCACAUACAUAGACACAUACACACACACAUACAUAUAUAGACAUAGACACACACACACAUACACACAAUAUGAACAUGAUGGGUGCUGAGUGGACGACUGGUGGGCCACAUGCGUGUGUGUGUGUGAGUGUGCAUCAAACUGUCCAAAGAUUUCUGUGUGGGUUGGAGGGGAGAUACAUGUGUUUUUGCGUGUCUGUCUUCGUGUGUGUCUCUCCGUGUAUGUGUGCGGCCAUCAAACUCUUCCAACGUUUCCGUGCAUAUCUGUGUGUGUGUGUGUGUGUGUGGGGGGGGGGGGGGGCAUAACACUGUCCAAACAGUUCUGUGUGACUGUAUGGAGCUCCUUGUGUGAGCCUGACUGACUGUUCAUGCGUCUGUUCAUAAGCUGGUUUGCAUGGUUGAAUAUGUAUGUGUGAAUUGAGUAUGUUUGUCUGAGUAUGGAUGUUUGAAUGAAUAUGUAUGUGUGAAUUGAGUGUGUUUGUCUGAGUAUGCAUGUUUGAAUGCAUAUGUGUGCUUGAAUUGAGUAUGUUUUUUAAAAGUAUGCAUGUUUGAAUGAAUAUGUAUGUUUGAAUUGAGUAUGUUUGUCUGAGUAUGCAUGUUUAAAUGAAUAUGUGUGCUUGAAUUGAGUAUGUUUUUAAAAGAGUGCAUGUUUGAAUGAAUAUGUACUUUCAAUGUUUUAAUUGAGUAUGUUUGUAAAAGAAUGCAUGUUUGAAUAAAUAUCUAUGUUUGAAUGAAUAUGUAUGUUGG